ACAUUCACCACCCCACGACGCGGCGCCAGGUCGCCGCCGCAGAUUCGACACAAAACCCGGAAGGACCCAGCCGAGGGUUUUCUCCGCUUCGGGCGAGGGGUAGGUAGGGCUGCGAGCGAACAGAUUUGCACAGAAGUGCAUCAAGCCACCCUAGCAGGGUGGAUGUUCAAGGACACAGCUCUGAGCGAGACCUGCAGGCCGAGACACAGGAGAACCUUCAAAGCAUAGGCUUUUAUACGAGUGACACCCCGUUCGACCUACUUGAACGGACACUUCUGUUUCUGUUCUUUCGCGCCCUGCGCCUUAAAAGGGUCGCAAAACGUCAAAUCAGAUAGGGACGUUAGACUUCUGUUGCUCAAGUGCGGAUGUUCCCCAGAUAAGGAAAUAGGCCCAGAGAGGUUAAUGAUUUGCCCAGUGUCACACAUUCUUGGUCCGCCGAUGUUAAGACAAAAGCUGGCGAACGGGGGAGGAGGAAUGAGGGGUCACCCGAGGCUUUCUGGAGAAGGUAAAUUCCAAUCUGCCCUUACGUGGCGAGCAGGAUAUGAACCAGCAGAGAUGAGGAAAGGCAAGAGGUGCCUGCUUGGGACCCUCGGUGGACAGCGCCUAAGCACAGAGGCAACUGCAGGUUUCUAACCAGGGCCAGUCUCCAGUGAAACUGAAAGGUUUCUGUGUGAAAGUGCCUGACCACCACUUCCCGGUUCAGACCACUACAGGAAACACUCCAUUUGUUCUGCCUGACUUCUCACUUGGCUGCAUCCUCAACCAUUGAAAUGAAUUUGACCCUGAUAAUCUAAGGAGGAAACAUUUGAUAUUCUUUUGCAAUAAUAUUUGGUCCCAGUAUUGUUUGGAAUCUGGAGUUUGCUGUUGAAUGGGAAAGUGGGAUGACGUUGCAUGUAUCCAGGCUUUGGUGCUGCUGUUCUAAGAAGGGUCAGGCCUGGUCAGCAUAUGGUGCUCUCCUUUGGUGCUAUUUGGCUCCCGUGUUCUUUGGAGUCUGAGGAGGUUUGGCCUUUAAAAGUCAAACUGCCACUGAAACUGCUUUAUCCAAAAUGUUGGUUCACAGCCUUCACUGGAUUACCUAUUGGGGCAAACAAAGUGUAACCAUGUAAAACCUGUGAGCUUGUAUUGAUAUCUCAUGGCUAGAGUUCCAAGGCAAAAGCUAUUGGAUCUUCGUUUGUGUGUGUAUAUACAUGUCUAGAUGUGUUUAUUUGUAUGUACACUUAUUGUUAUAUGUUGUGUCAACCAAAUCAGCUUAUAAAUAAAAGAGCACUCAUAAAUUAAAUAAAUAAGUCCAACCAAUUUUCAAGUUCAUGUGACUUAAGUAAAUCUUUACUAAACAAGCUGGCUUUAAAAUUAUUGGUAAAAUGAAAAUAGAAAUGUCUUCAGAAUUUUCAGCAUACAUUUUUGUCUGGGUUUUAUAUUAGUCUUUGCUAGAAAUGUUGAAGUGUCAGCAUUUGGCAUAGAAGAUUAUAAAGCUAUUAACCCAGCCAAAACAAAAUGGUCUUAGUUUAUGUGGCUUCUUUGACAAAUGAGACUAAUUUAAUAUUGUUAGCUAAAUCUUCUGGGUUAUUGGCAAAAAUACCUAUGUAUUUAACUUUGAGGUUCUUAUUUAGGUGAACACAGGAUGUUCAUUAGCUAUUAAAAAUGGUUAACAAAGAACUAACUUUAAAUGAUGGUGUCUAAUAUCUCAGUUUUCAGAAGUAAUCUAGAUAAACUGUUAAAAAUGAAAGAAUUAAGUACAUGUAAAUGGGAUGAAUGAUUAGGUAAAUUUUGUGUAAUUUAAAAUCUUAAAAGUAUUUUUGAUGCUCAUUGGAUAUCUGGGUCAUUUGCAAUUAAGAAAGGGUUAUGAUAAGGAGGAAUAUGUUUCCAAAAAUUGUGGAAUUAUUCUCAUCUAUGAAAUGCUGAUAUCUGAUAGUUUAGGAUUUUUUGCUUCCUAAGGUUUCACUAAAAUUUAAGGUUACUAAGAUGAUAUGGUUUGGCUUUGUAUCCCCACCCAAAUCUCUUCUUAUAGCUCCCAUAAUUGCCAUGUGUUGUGGGGAGGGAUCCAGUGGGUGAGAGAUGAUUGAAUUAUGCUGUUCUCAUGAUAGUGAAUGGGUCUCAUGAGAUCUGAUGGUUUUGAAAAUGGGAGUUGCCCUGCACAAGCUCUCCUUUUGCCUGCUGCCAUCCACAUAAGAUGUGAUUUGCUCUUCCUUGACUUCCACCAUAAUUGUGAGGCCUUCCCAGCCAUGUGGAAAUGUAAGUCCAAUAAACCUCUUUCUUUUGUAAAUUGCCCAGUCUUGAGUAUGUCUUUAUCAGCAGCAUGAAAACAGACUAAUACAUAAAGAUAUGAAUUAUAGUUAAUAUAUAAUUCUGUAUAUAAAAUAUGCCAAAAAAUAUGUGUUAUUGGUGAGAAAGAAUUAUUUUGUGUAGUUUGGAGGUUAUCUGAAAGUUAAUUCAAAUUAUGGACUUUAAAAAAAGAGUUAUUUAUGAAACAAGGUAGUAAGGAACCAGUAAGUAGGGGAGAGAGAUGUGAAGAAAUUUACAUAUAUGAAGAUAUGUUUUUGUGAGGGAAGGUUGUAGAGAUGGUGGCUUUGUAUGAGAAAAGAUCUUGUACGAUAAAUUCUUGUCCUAAAGUAAAAUGACUGGUUGUUUAAAAAAGAAAGAUGUUUAGGAAAACUCAGAAAGUCCAAGCAUUUUGUAGAUGGUCCAGGUAAGUUAUGAAAAGAAUUCAUGUAAGAAAAGGAUAAUGUACUUUUGGUAAAAAGCAUGGGAAUGUGGAUUUCUUGCCUAAGUUUAGAGGGUGAAAGGAUGGCUUUAAGUGAGAUAAGAACAAUCUAAAAGGUUUGAACAAGUUGUGGAAGGUUUAUGAAAAAUUAAUUGUAAAAGAGAUUCUAUGUGUGAACAUAUUGGCUAACGUUAAAGGGGAAGACUGGCAAUUAGACUUCACCCAUAUGCCAGUGUGCAAAGUAUACAAGUUUUUGGUAGUAGUAACAGACACUUUUACUGGCUAGGUUGAAGCUUGCUCUAUGAGAACAGAGAAGGCUCAUGAAGUUGCUAAGCUUCUUUUAAAGGAAAUAAAUCCCCUAGUUUGGGUUACCCCAAAGCCUCUAAAGUGAUAAAGACCUAUCUUUUAGAACUCAAGGGGCUGCUAAGGCUCUCAGAAUAAAAAAUUAUUUACAUGGGAAAGUAGAAAGGGCUAAUCAAACUCUUAAAAUUGGUGUUAGCUAAGCUAUGUUAGAAAACAUUAGAAAUUUGGGUCAGCUUCUUGGCUGUAGCCCUCUUAAAAACCCAUAAUUCUCCUAGAGUAAAAAUUAAUAUGAGCUCAUAUGAAAUGUUAUACAGAAGGCCAUUUUUUUUGAGAUGGAGUUUUGCUCUUGUCACCCAGGCUGGAGUGCAAUGGCACAGUCUUGGCUCACUGCAACCUCUGCCUCCCUGGUUCAAGUGAUUCUCCUGCCUCAGCCUCCUGAGUAGCUGGGAUUACAGGCACGCACCACCAUGCCUGACUAGUUUUUGUAUUUUUAGUAGAGACAGGGUUUCAUCAUGUUGGCCAGGCUGGUCUUGACCUUCUGACCUCAGGUGAUUUGCCUGCCUCAGUCUCCCAAAAUGCUGGGAUUACAGGCAUGAACCACCACUCCUGGCUGGCCAUUUUAAAAUAAUGAUCUAAUUACUGAUCCAGAAACAGCCAGUUUAGUAACAUGCCUAAUUAACCUGGGACAAUUUCAGCAGGCUGUACAAAAGUUUAGAACUCAAAGACUCCCCACACAAGGAACUAACCAGCAACCCAAAAUCAGGCCAGGAGAUAAGGUACUUGUUAAAACAUGGAAGGAGGGAUCACCUGCUGAACAAUUACAACCCAAAUGGAAGGGAUUAUUUUCAGUGGUACUGGCCAUGCCUUCUCCAGUCAAAGUACUGGGAAUAGUUAGUUGGAUACAUCUUUCCAGGGUCCAACCUGCAAUAACUGAAGCCCCAGACCUGGAACCUGAAGAUCCCAUCAGCCACCAUGAACCUGUGGAAGACCUGAAGUACCUGUUUAAAAGGCAGCCAAAAGAUAAGUAAAUUCCUAUCAACUUUCCUUGGUGUCCUUCUUGUAUAUUUACUGUAAGUUGGAUAUAAUAAUAGCCAUUUUUAUAUUUUUACAAUUUAAUUGCUUUCUUCCAAAUGGAUUGAAUCACUUCUUUUAAAGUGUUUUAAUUAAUUUUUAUUUAUAGAACAAAAUAACAAAUGAGUAUUUUUUUAUACCAUAAUGGUCACCCACAGCCUGUGUAUACUAAGACCAUGCAUACUGAGAAUCAGCUUUAUUUUACAACAGAGUUUCACUUUACCCCUCUGGUAAUUAAUAGAUUCUGGGUAUUUAUUAAAAACUUUAAUACAAAGACUGUUAAAUACCACCAGUCCAGCUUUGGCAAAGCACUGUUGGCUUUGUUUAUCUCCAUCAUCAUCCAAACAUACUACCAAUCCUGAUCCCAGCCCAAUCUCAGGCCCUUGAAAAAAUGACUUAUCAUCCUAACUACAAGGGAGAAACUCCUUUCAAAUUAAUGAACCUGGCUAACUUAUAUAGCCUCAAAAUUAUGGAAAUGACAAGGGUUACAAUGUCAGAAUGAGCAGUAAACCUUCCCCAGUCCUAUCAGAGCAACUUUCUGGGGUUGCAUCCCCUCAGAAACCCAUUUGGGGCCCAAUAUCAAUGCACAGAUCAGUGCACAAUGCACUAAAAUUCCAGGCACCACUUUGUAUUAAGAGAAGCCAAAAUUUUGGUCAGACCCUGGGACAUCUAAAAUCACCAGUGUAACUACACUGUACAGAUUAAACCCUCACAUGAUCAUGUAAGCUAUGCUGUUACCCAAGCUGCAUCAUUUAGAAAACCUGUACAGUUUUUAUGGAAACCAUCCCUAGUUACUGACACUUUAAAUAAUACAUAGUCUAAUUACUGUCAAGGUAGGCCCACUAGCUGUGUUCACAUUUUCCCUUGGCCACCUUAGCAGGGACCUUAAUCACUUGAGAAAGUGAAAACAACAAGCUAACCCACAUGUUCACCAUAGAAAACAAUUUUGUCUUGAAAAACAAGGACCCUUUUUCCCGUGUGGGACCAGUUCCUACUUAAGUUUUACCAGCCAAUUGGACUGGAACCUAUACAGUUGUUUAUUUAGCCCCCAAAAUUAAUAUAGCUCCCAACAAUCAAUCCUUCAUUAUACUUUUAACUGCAACCACCAGACGCAAAUGAGCCAUCCAACUGCUACCACUUUUGGUAGAGCUAGGAAUAACAGCAGGAGUAGGAAAGAGAGUUAGCAGCCUUGCAACUCCCCUAUCCUAUUACCAAUGCUUGUCCAAGGAUUUUAUGGAAAGCUUGGGUGAUAUUGCCCAAGAGUAUCAUCACCUUACAAAAUCAGAUAGACUCUUUGGCAGUGGUGGCUUUGCAAAAUAGAAGGGGACUGGAUCUCCUAAAUGCUGAAGAAGGUGGCUUAUGUCUUUUUCCUAGAGGAACAAUGCUGUUUUUAUGUCAACCAAACAGGAUUAGUAAGGGAUGCCACCCAAAAACUAGCCAAUUGGGACCAUAAGAUAUGACAACAGCUGUCUGAGUCAUGGGGCGCCUAGUCGAAAUGCUAAUUUGGGGUUCAUGUCUCCUUCCUCUGGCCAGUCCACUAUUAAUUAUUAUACUUGCCUUGGUUUUUGGAUCAUGUUUGUUAAAUCUUUUAACCAGAUUUAUUUCUUCUUGCCUAGAGACCAUUAUGAUAAUGCAGUAUGGCCACCAGCCAGUUUCAGAUAAUGAUGUUAACCCCGGCCAUCAAGAAGUAACCUUGUCUCCACUAGACAGAGCAGGGUGAGAGUUCUGUAAUCCCCAGUAGGUAGGGACUGUGCCCCAAGUCAGCAUGAAGUAGUUAUGGAAGAAAGACCAUUGGUCCCUCUGCCUCCCAGAAAGAUUUAUGGGGAUCACAUCUCUCAGGGGAAAAUGAGGCAGGAGAACAGGGUCCAGAGACAGGGAACCUAAGGCUGAUUUGUGAUGAGUUUCUAGGAUUGAAUGAAAAGGAAAACCCCACCUCUCCACACCCAAGUAACAAAAGGAUCAGAGGCUACUACCUUUGCACUGCAUUGCAGAUAAAAAAUGGAAAGUACCUCAGAUUGGUCCCCUCCCACAACCAAUCAGACUGGUCAUGGGCUACUCCUUCGUUUACAUAGGGUGUAACCAAGUAACCAAUGGGAAACCUCUAGAGGGUAUGUAAACCCCAGAAAAUUCUGUAACCAGUGCUCUUGAGCUGCUUGCUGGAGCCUUCUCCCACUCUGUGAAGUGUACUUUCAUUUCAAUAAAUUUGUGCUUUCAUUGCUUCAUUCUUUCAUUGCUUUGUUUGUGCGUUUUGUCCAAUUCUUUGUUCAAAACACCAAGAACCUGGAUGACUCGUAGUCAAGAUCCUUUACCAGUAACACUUGAACUUUCUGGUUUGUCCUGAACAUCCCUCUUUCUUCAACAACUGGUCAUUUUAUUCUAGGCCAAAAAUUUACCAUACAAGAUUCUUUCUCAUAUAAAAUUAUCUUCCUUCUAACUUUUCUUGCCAGAAAUACCUGUUUAACUUUCUUUACAUUGCUUUUACUUAAUGGUUACUUUUACCUUAUUUCAUAAGUAAGUUUUAAAUAGCCUUUGAAUUAGAUAAAAAAUUAUUUUCCUUUAAAUAACAACACAUUUCUCUUUUUAGAAAAAUAUUUUUCUGUAAUUUUUUUUUUUUUUUUUUUUGAGACGGAGUCUCGCUCUGUCACCCAGGCUGGAGUGCAGUGGCGCAAUCUUGGCUCACUGCAAGUUCUGCCUCCCGGGUUCACGCCAUCCUCCUGCCUCAUCCUCCAGAGUAGCUGGGACUACAGACGCACACCACCACGCCUGGCUAAUUUUUUGUAUUUUUAGUAGAGACGGGGUUUCACUGUGUUAGUCAGGAUGAUCUCAGUCUCCUGACUAUGAUCUGCCUGCCUCAGCCUCCCAAAAUGCUGGAAUUACAGGUGUGAGCCACUGCACCUGGCCUACUUUUUUAAAUUGGAAAUGACCCAGACAUUUAAUGAGUACUUAUUAUUUAACAAUAUAAUUUUAGAUUCUAAAUUAUAUAAAAAGUUUAAUCACAAGCAUUUAUUCCAUUACAUUUACCUAAUUUUUUUUAAUAGUUUACUCAGAUUACUUUUGAAAACUGUGAGAGUUAUCAUUGAAAGUUAUUUCCCAGUUAAUCAUUUUUAUAGGCUGUGAAUUUCAGGUUUUCCUAAGUAAGAAACUUAAGGUUAGAUAAAUGUUUUUUUUUUUUUUUUGCCAAUAACUCAGGAUUUAGCUGUUUUCAUUAACAAUAUUAAAUGCCUUAUUUACGAAAGUUUACACAAAGAUAAUUUUCCUUUGGGCUGCAUUCAUUGUUUUAUAACCCUCAUGCCAAAUUUUGACAUCUAGCAGAGAUAAAAAUGAAACCACUUUACCAAUAAAUUUAAACAAUAGUAUAUGUUGACAAUUCUGAAGCCAUUCUAAUUCUAAUUUUAUUUCAUGACUACUUUCAAAAUCAGCUUAUUUGUUAAAGAUUUACUUAAGUCACAUGAAGUUGAAAAGACAUUUGGCUUAAAAUCUCUAUUUUCUCUGAUAAAGUAUUUGAUUUAAAGCCCCUUUUUUUCUUUAAGCCAAAAACACUUUUAUGUUUUUAGUAGUGAGACAUCAUAUACAUGACACAUACAUACAUAGAUGUAUUAUACACGCAGAUAGAAGUACAACUUAUCACUUCACAAGAUCUAAUUUUUUCCUCUUGUUUUAGACUUCUAAUUUCUUGAUCUUAUUACCCUAUGCAGUUGUCAGCUAAGAUAACCCUACAUUUGCAUAUUAAAGGAAUUCUUAGAUGAAAAAUCAGAUAGUGAAAUUUACAUCUCAAGGAACAGAGAGAAGGAGUCUGGUCCUAGUGUUUCCAGAAUUUACUCCUUCUGGUGGGUUCUUGGUCUCUCUGACUUCAAGAAAGAAGCCUUGGACCUCGGAGUGAGUGUUACAGCUCUUAAAGGUGGCACGUCCAGAGUUGUUUGUUCCUUCUGGUGGGUUUUUGGUUUCACUGACUUCAGGAAUGAAGCUGCAGACCCUCAUGGUGAGUGUUAUAGCUCAUAAAGGUAGCGUGGACCCAAAGAGUGAGCAGCAGCAAGAUUUAUUAUGAAGAGUGAAAGAACAAAGCUUCCACAGCAUGGAGGGGGACCCGAGUGGAUUGCCGCUGCUGGCCGGGGUGGCCAGCUUUUAUUCCCUUAUUUGUCCCCACCCACGUCUGGUGAUUGGUCCAUUUUACAGAGCACUGAUUGGUCCAUUUUACAGAGUGCUGAUUGGUCCAUUUUACAGAGUGCUGAUUGGUGCAUUUUACAGAGUGCCGAUUGGUGCAUUUACAAUCCUUUAGCUAGACACAGAGUGCUGAUUGGUGCGUUUACAUUCCUUUAGCUAGACACAGAGUGCAGAUUGGUGCAUUUUUACAGAGUGCUGAUUGGUGCAUUUACAAUCCUUUAGCUAGACACAAAGCACUGAUUGGUGCGUUUUUACAGAGUGCUGAUUGGUGCAUUUACAAUCUUUUAGCUAGACACAGAGCACUGAUUGGUACAUUUAUAAUCCUCUAGCUAGACAGAAAAGUUCUCCAAGUCCCCACUUGACCCAGGAAGUCCAGCUGGCUUCACCUCUCACUAGUAGGAGGAGAUUAAAAACGAAUGCCAAAUCAAACCUAAAAUUAUAGAAAUCUAUCACAGGAUUAUAUUAGAAGACUGAUUUUAUGUAUAUAAGUAGUUCUAAAUUUAGUCUGUCUUUUAACUGGAUAUCUGAGCUCUGGGCAGAGCCCACACUGAAUCCGGGGUCUCCAAAAAGAGAAUUAUUAUAAGGCUAAGACCAUGUGAUGGUUUUAUGAGUGCACUCUCCUUUUUUUUUUUUAACAAAAACAUUUCUCUAAGUGUCUGAACUACUCUCUUCCUUACUUUAAACACCCAAGAGUAAACUCUGUUGUCAGUCUUUGACUAAAAUAAUUAUUUUAGUAAAAAAAAAACAAAAGAAGAAGAAAGAAAGAAAGAAACCAGGUAACACUAUACAAAAGGAAGCAGUGUAAGAUCUGAGACGAACUUUUCUGUUUUACACUCUUUGGGUUCCAUAAGGAAAAACAGAGAUUGCUCCCCAAAAGGGAGUCUAGUGCCUUCUCUGUUUUCUUUAAGGAAACCCAGGCUGUUAGAAACUAUUUUAGAUUCCUCAUGCAGCAGAGGCUGGCAAGAGAAAGAAGAGGCAGCAGAAGUAAAAUGAAGAAAACAGAAUUUGGUUGACGGAGAAGAAAAAGACUUGCUCAAAAAGUUGGAGAAAUAAAAAAGGCCUUAACUACACACACACACACACACACACACACACACACCUUGGAUGUUAGCUUUUAUUUAAGCUUUUAGCCAUUAAGCUCCUUAAAAAAAAAUCCCUUUAAAUCUCAUUACUGUAUUUUAGCUAGUACAAACUGCUGAUAUUUCAAAAAUAAUGCAAAUACCAAGCCAGAAAGGGCUUGAUUUAGGAACCAAACUUAGGCAGUCAUGAUGAAAAUAAGGACAGAACCUUAGUUUCCAAACUGCAGCACUGGGGGACAACCGUUGCUCUUUCAGUUUGGCCUGGUUAGCAAAAGAUGGCCUUGCUAUGUAAAUAAAUCCCCUCAGGUAGUCAAAAUCAAAAAAACUUUUUUUCCUUUUGCUGGCUGUUUUUUUCUUUUUUCUUUUUCAGCUGCGGGAAUUUAGCCAAUUCACAGGUCUUGUUCUCCAUAAUUUGGAACUUUCCUUCGGAUUUGAUCAAGUUGGAUAGAGUUGGUCAAACCCAAUAGGAAAAAGAUGAAAACAACAAGAAACAGAAACAAAACAACAACAAAAAAACAGACCCCACACCUCCAGACCCUGCUGAGGGAGGACCACCCAUUUCUAGUCCCAGCUCCUCCUCUAACUGUCCGUGUGACCUUAAACAAGGCCUUUCCCCUCUCUGGCCUCAGUAUCCGCCUCUGAACAAUGGGGCUGGGCCUGCUGACCUUCUGAUUCUUUUCUGCUCUCUGAGUUUGUGAACUUGUGAUAGGGAGACAAGAGUCCUAGGAAAUGGAAGGAGAGCACGUUUCACUCUGUCCAGCAGAGGGCAGCAGCUACCCACAAAUCAACAGCUGGGCAAAGCCAGGGCUGUGCGGGAGCUAUGCACAGGUUCUGCCUUCUGAAGCCUUCAGUGGCAGCCUCUGAGCCAGAGGGUUCCAAGCAGAAGAGGUCCCGCCCCUGGAGAGGGACCUCAGAAAGGUCCUUCAAGCCCCCUCUCAGCUCUUACUAACGGCAUCCCAGAUGCCCUAUUCCUCUUCUGCAGAGAGAAGGUGGGUCAGCCACUAAAUGGUGCUCGGACCUUGCAGCUUGGUGGGAAGGAGGAAGCUUAUUCAAGCAAGGAAGAUGAGACAGGCAAAAACCGACGCAUAAGCCAAAAGCCCCUCCAAAGCGAGGUGUUGUUCCAGGCUGACAAGUCUCCAGCAGGGUGGACUUCAGACUCCCUGUUAGGAACUAAAUUGUGUCCCCGAAAACGAGAAAGUCACCCCAGUGUAUGACCUAAUUCAGGAAAGGUCAUUGCAGAUGCAUUUAAUUAAGUGAAGAUGAGCUCAUGCUGGAGUAGGGUGGACUCUGAACCCAGUAGGACAAGCGUCCUUAUUAAAAAGAGGGAAAUCUGGACACACACAGAGCAGAGACCGCCCUGUGAAGAUGGAGGCAGAGAUCAGAGAGAUGCUGCCACAUGCCACAAAUGCCUGGGGCGCCCGGAAACUACACGGAGCCUCCCCCAGCGUCUUCAGCAGGAGCAUGUCUCGGCCAACACUUUGAUCUUGGCCUUCCAGCCUCCAGAACGUUUUCCUAAAAUUCCCUUUUCCACUGGUGUGUGGUGCAAGAUGAGGCACAUUUUCCAUGGAUGGUGAACAGAGGGAGGAGCCUUUUGAUCACAACCAGGUCACCCCACUUCUAAGCCACUGUGUCUCCAGCCCCACAAGACUAAGGGAGAGAGCGCAGAAUGGUGGAGAGUGAGCUGUGCUGGGACCGUUGUUUCCAUAACCUCAUUUUCUGUGUCCAGCUGACACACCUUCAAAGCGGCAUCAGGUCCUAAACUGUAGCUUGCAACGUGCCUGUUUCCAGAAACCAAGGUGAAAUAGACAGUGUUCCUGCAAGAGUCCCUUCCCAACUUUUCUCUGGAAAUGCAUGUUUCUCUGAACUCUGAGUCCCGAGAAAAAUCAUUUGAGACAUCAAGAAAAUGGGGGAAGUGCUAAAAUUGUGUGGGAAUUCAAGCUUAACAAUAAACAUCAAGACAUUUUUGGUAAAAAUGAAUCCACUGACAUCAGGGAGGAACAAGAGAACAGAACGCUGACACUGGGUCAGAGGCUAAGACCAACAUUUCUGGGAACCACUCCUGGAAGGGCACAGAUGAGACGCUUUCAACCUCUCAUCAGCCAGCCUGGCCUGUAGCUGCUGCACGUUAUGAGUGUGUUCCUGGCAUGACUGCUUCUAACAGCAACCAUUUCAUUAAGUUUUUAAGUGCCUGGCAAUUGCUUGGUUAAGACCGGUGUCUGCUCCAUGGCAGCCUCUUCCUGUUUUUGCCCGAAUGAUGAAGGAGGAAGUUUACAUCUUGCUCCCUGGGGACAGGCAGAGACAGUGUGUGCACUUCCAUCCUACAAGGACCAGAUCUGAACAGCCUGGAGAGAAGACCUGUGGCGGCAGCAGACAGAUCUCUGCUUCAGGGGCCAAGUGUCCAGGUGGGACACCACAGCGUGGCAGAGAGAACAGAGGCUUCUCUGCAUGCCUGCCAGGGAAUUGGCACCAUGUCAACAGAAAUCUUAGGUUACAGGAACAGGAACCAGCCCUGACUGAUGUGUGCAAGCCUGGAGCUUUCCUUUCUCCUUGCACUUCCCACAUGUUCCCCACAUAACCAGCAACCACAGAGCCACCCCCUGCCACCCAACGACUCUCUCCUGAGCUAGAAACUUGUAAGACUCAGCUAGGAGUCUGAAUGGUUGGACAUCUAAAGCAAAGAAUAACCUAGUUUGUAACUUGGGAUCAAAGGAAGAACUGAAUAUCCACAUUCUGUGUAAAAGAGGCCACUUUGGAGAUUUCUAUGCCUCUCAGGGGCUCUACCUCAGAGUGGCUCAGCUGUAAUUAUCUUUGGAUUCCCAUACAAAUCCAACUUCCCUGGAAAGAGAAAGUCUCAUGUUUAUUAAUAAUAUGAGGAAAGGAUUAAAAUAUAUCAGCUGCUAUGGGCUACUGUCGUUUAUUUUGACUUUUCUUUUGUAGAAGAAAUGCUGAUGCAGUGUCAUGCUUGUGUCUGUCCUCCUUAGAGAAUGCCUGAACAGUUCCAUUGACUCAAAGUAAAGAUCAAAAGAACCAAAUGACAGUAAUAGCCAAGUGUAAUCAUCAGUAACCGUGUUUUCUAUCCACGGGUAAAGAACAAUCAUCCUCUUCAUUAUGGGUUUCAAUUUAAAAUGUAAUACAUUUUUAGAAAUGCCUAUUUCCUUUUAUAAUCUCUUUAUAUAAUCUAGGUUAUUCUGGCUCUUAGGUCUUCAUUCAACUACUGAAAAGAUUUGAUCUCAAAUCAAUGACCUAACCACCCAUGACCACCUCCCACCUCCCUCCCCAUACACCCCCCAGCAUGAAUUCUGGUAACUCAGGUAAAAUGCUUUCUGGAAAUCUGCCUGUAUUAGUCUGUUGUCAAGCUGCUAAUAAACACAUACCCGAAACUGGGUAAUUUAUAAAGGAAAGAGGUUUCCUUUAUAGUUCUACAUGGCUUGGGAGGCCUCAAAAUCAUGGUGGAAGGCGAAUGAGAAGCAAAGUCACAUCUUAAAUGGCAGCAGGGAAAAGAGAGUUUGUGUAGGGGAACACCCCUUUAAAAAACCAUCAGAUCUUGUGACACUCAUUCACUAUCAAGAGAACAGCAUGGAAAGACCUGCCCCCAUGAUUCAAUUACCUCCCAUAACACAUGGGAAUUAUAGGAGCUACAAUUCACAAUGAGAUUUGGGUGGGGACACAGACAAACCAUGUCACCGCCUAAAACCAACUCAAUAGUCUAAGGAAUUUGACUGGGGAGAAUCUGGAGAGGAUUUUAAUUAAUUUGGCAAGAGGAUUAGCAAUUCGAGCUAAGUGAGAAAAGAGAAUUCUUGGAGGAAAAAAAGAUGUUUAGUUACACUGAAGCAAUUGCCUUUGAGAUUUUUUUCAGGAAAUGAGUAUUGAUGGCCUACUGUGUGUCAAAUUAUGUGUUAAAGACUCCAAAGUAGAUAAGACAUAGGCCCAGCUUUGGGGAGCUCAUUGAGCCACAGAGAAAGUUUGAAUGUUUCAGAGAAAUCAUCAAGAACAUGGGAUCAGCAAUCUAUUAUAUGUUAAUUGCCUCUUUUCAUGAUUGUAAAAGCAAUGCAUGCCUGCUGAAGAGAAUUUGGAAAAACAAAGAAGAAAUUUUAAAACAUCUCUGAUCCCGCCACCAGAAAUAACCACUGUUAGCAAUUGUGUCACUUCUGUAGGUCUAUAUGGUUAUCAUAAUAAGCUCUAGCAUUGAUUACAUGCAUCUCAUGUACCAGAGAUUAUGCUAGACUCUCAUUUAAUCUGUACAUCAGCCCUAUGAAGUAGGGACCAUCAUUCUCCUCAUUUUACAGAUGAGGAAACAGAGGCUUGGAGAGGUUACUGUGCCUGAAGCCUCAUAGCUAGUGAGUGGCAGAGAUGGGACUCACCCAAGCUUUGUCUUAUUCUCAAGCUCUCAACCAACCCAGUGGUGAGAAGAGCCAGCAGCAAAGCCUGUCGUCUUUGUCUUUUUUUUUUUUUUCUAAUCUCAAAUCAGGGAGAAAGCCUUUGUCAUGAGAGGGGCAAAGCAAUUCCAAAGACAGCCCAGUGGCCAUGUCUCCGAUUUGGCUUUCAGGGGCCUGUCUGAUACCUAUGGAGAGACAAGGGCUGAACAAGCUGUACCCUCAAAACAAAACAAAGCAAAACAAAACUUUAGUCUCUUUAGGGACUCUCUGAUAGUAAUGCAGAGGGAGAAAGGCUUUCUUUGUCUCACAGGGGGGAAGGUUCCCUACGGAAAUUGAAGGCAGUGCCUGUUGACAUAGCGCUGCCACCUGGUGGAAAUCAUGGUGUAGGACAUCAUGUCCAGCACCCCUAGCGCUGAGAGACACUCCCUGCGGAAGAGAAAUAUUUGGAGAGAAAUUUGCAAGAGGUUGGAAGUCUUGCAGUAGCAGGUAGGAACAAGGAUUAUAACUGCUACUGUGACCCCCUGAGGCUCCUCACAUCCUCUUAAGACUUGGAGAAACUCAUAUUAUGUGUAUUUUCCUGUACUUUUGAAAAAUAUUUUCCUUUAUGCUUUGUUGUAAUGAAAUUACCUCUGAUGGUCACAUAGCUUAAAUAUUUAGUAUAUAUAUGAAUACUAAAUGUCCAUUUUCGGGAGUUAGUUUACCUGCAUCUAAAAUCAGGAAUAUGUCACACAGUAACUGAGCAAAAAGUGCCGUUAGGUUUGUGCAUUUCACCCUUUGCCUGGGAUGAGAAGAUGUCAAUCAUCUUGGUACUAAUGACAGGAAAAAGUGCCCUCCUAUCCAUGUGUAUUGGCUACUUGACUCAAGUCUCCUUAUUUCGUUUUCUAGCAUAACUCAAAGGAUUGUGAUUGUUGUUUUACAUCUGUGUUGAUGAGAUAAAUAAGUUUAAAAUAAAAAGAUGUGUACCAGGCAGAUGGAAAGGUGAACCAUGAA